UACAGAGGGUGCAAGCGUUAAUCGGAAUUACUGGGCGUAAAGCGUGCGUAGACGGUUGCAUAAGUCAGAUGUGAAAGCCCCGGGCUCAACCUGGGAAUUGCAUUUGAGACUGUGUAGCUAGGGUGCGGAAGAGGGAAGCGGAAUUUACGGUGUAGCGGUGAAAUGCGUAGAUAUCGUAAGGAAGACCAGUGGCGAAGGCGGGUCUCUGGACAGUUCCUGACGCUGAGGCACGAAGGCCAGGGGAGCAAACGGG
rnacentral:rRNA from 1 species